UACGUAGGGUGCGAGCGUUGUCCGGAAUUACUGGGCGUAAAGAGCUCGUAGGCGGUUUGUCGCGUCGUCUGUGAAAUUCUGCAACUCAAUUGUAGGCGUGCAGGCGAUACGGGCAGACUUGAGUACUACAGGGGAGACUGGAAUUCCUGGUGUAGCGGUGAAAUGCGCAGAUAUCAGGAGGAACACCAGUGGCGAAGGCGGCUCUCUGGGCCUUUCCUGACGCUGAGACGCGAAAGCGUGGGGAGCGAACCGG
rnacentral:rRNA from 1 species